CAAGAAAGUUAUAAAGCUGAAGCCAAUAAUAAAGCAAAUGACCAAGAAACAACUUUUAUAUUAAUCAGGAUUCGUUUUUAAGUUGAAGUGACCAAAAUACAACUCAAACUAACUCAAGCAAAAAAGAAAUAGGUACUGGGGAGAGGGGACAGUAGGGGAACAGGCUCCCACAUACUGAGAUCUGGGAACACAAAGGGAAGUUAUCAGGUCUCUCUCCCUCUCAGCUCUGCUUCUUUCAGUGUGGUGGCCUCAUUCUUUCUAACUGAAGAACGAUCUUUACUGCAGAAAAUUCUAAGCAUUAUUGUGGCAGAUCCAGUAAGUCCCAGAGAAGGAUUCUGAUUGGUCCUGCUUCAGUCACAUGCUUGCAUCUUAGUCCAAUCACUGUGGCCUGGAGGAUGGGACACCAUGAUUUGCAAGACUCUGGUCACAUGCCCACACCUGUGGCUUCUGAAGCAGAGCACCAGCAGUGACAGUCCCACCAGAACCGCAUGGAAUAGAAAACUGUGCAUUUCCCUAAGGAAAGGGAAUGCCAGAGAAGGGCAGAAGGGAAAUCAGGAAGACAAAACGUGUCUUCAUGUUGGAGUGGACCUUUCCUCUAUCUGUCAACAGAAUGGAUAAAUUGUGGAAGAGUAAUAUCAGAAUACUACACAUCAGUAAAAAACAACAAACUUCUGCUACAAACAAUCAACAUCGAUGAAUCUUUCAGGCAAAAGGUUAUAGAAACAGAUGAUCAGUGGCCCACGGAUUCCAGGUGAGGAUCUGGGACCCAGACAUCCAGAUAUUGAAAACACAGGGAUGGAGUCUGUAUGGAAAAAAUUAAAAUAUAGCAAAAUGUGAAAUACGGAAGAGAAAUCUUUCAAUUUCCCAAUGGAAGUGAGAAAAGAGCAAAGAAAAGUAUUGGUCUUCCAAAACAAAUAGAGGACGGAGCUGCUGCUGUUGCAUGGUGUCUAGAAACUCAGACAACUUCAUCAUUCCAUAUUUGCAUCCAAGAGAGAGAAAGAAAAACUACAAUCAUUUUCCAUUUACCCAUCAACCCAUCAACCUCCAAAUAAAGGCUAUUAAAAAACAAUCAAAGUGUGAAGAGGGCAGAAAAUGUGAUGAAGAGAUUCUUUGGAGAAAGUAGCUGCCACUGUUACCUUGGGAUCUGCCUAUAGUCCUCACAGAGCUUGCCCUUGCAGGAUAGAACAUAGGAGUCUGGGAGUCUGCAAGAAGGGUCUCACUAUGUUGCCCCAGUUGGCCUUGAACUGCUGGACUCAAGGGAUCCUCCUGCCUCAGCAUCCUGAGUAGCUGGGUCUACAGGCAUGAACCACCAGGCCCAGAACCCUGUCUUUUGAAAGCCAUAUGCGAUCUGUCUGCCCUGAAGUGACUACUUCAUCUCCAACCAGCCCUUGGCUGGCAAAGUCAGGAAGACUCCAGUCUUUCCUGAAGACCAGGGGAGAGUUUAUAACUCUAGCAUCAAAGUCAGCAGCUGUUCAUCUAGAAGACAACUUCCCAAAAGUCAAUGUCUUUGCCUGAAGCUUUUCUUCCCAGAUCUCCUAUGGUGAAACAACCAAAGGGAAGAAGAAUGUGGGCAGCCCUCAGUAAGACAGGAGAUGAGCAUCAACAUUGACCCAUUCUUUCUUCCAGUCCUCGAUGCUUACCUUGUACAUUCUUCUUUGUCUUCCGACUCAGUGCCUUUAGGGUAUGGACGUUGCCUGGUCCCACACAAGCCAAGCAUCAAAUGGAUGGCUCAACAAGGAGGCCAAGACCAGCUAAUGUUUAGUGAGCACCCAAAGGGGCCACACUGGAGAGAACAGCACAGCUCCGUCUGAGAAACAGCUGUUCCUUCCUGCCUGAGAGGCAGAGUGAUAGAAGAUAUCACAGAAUGUUGCUGCUUUGUCUUCCACCCUGAACCCUCCACGACCUCCCUGUAGCUUCCUGAUUUUAAGUAGACAUCAAAUGAUUCUUAAUCCUUUCUGGGUCUUGGAACGAUUUGAAAAUUGUCAACAGUACUGGGAUUCCCAGAAUAAUGCACAUAUGUACAUACUCAGAUAUUCCCCAAGCCCUGGAUAUAAUUUUAAGGGAGUUCACAGACCACACUCCCCCACCCAUCUGUGGACCCAGAUUCUGUGGGUUCGAGAUUCAGAAGCCCUGUUUCUAGGCAGGCCCUCUGUUGCUAACGCCCCUCGAGAACAUCACCCUAGAUGAUUAUCCCUUCUUCCUCCACUCCUUCCCACCUUCUCCAACUGCUGGGUUUCAGCACAAAGAUUGCUUGCCAGUUAAACUGGCACCAUGGACCGCACAGUAGUUGUUUCUUGGGUCUAGAGGAAACAGCCAGAUUCCUUUAAGUAAAUCAUGUCUUAGUUAUUGAUUGUCUCCACUUGAAGUUUUUGACAAUCUCUGAUUAAAUCAUAAACCACUGCAUCCUCCAUCUCCUGCUUCAGUCUCUCAAACCAAAUGUCAGUUUCUUUGUAGCCCUUCAAUUCAAAGUUUGCAAAUUCUGGAUCUAGGCUUCAUUCUUUCACUCAUUUAAGCACUAACAUCU
rnacentral:lncRNA from 1 species